AUUCAAAAUGGCGGCGAAAUUGGUCAGCUCAGUGAAUUUGUCAUUUAAACAUUUGGUUUAUAAUUGACACUAAUAUAUAUCCAAAAUGAAACUGGUAAGUUUUAAAAAUGCUGUUUUAUUUUUGUAACUAGGAGUUACUAUCGCAAGGAAAGUGCUGCCUUUUUGCCACAUGAACUGAAUGCAAAAGUUUGUACUUCUAGACAAUUCUCUAAAGGGAAGUCUAGCUACUUUUGACCCAAUAGCCUCAUUUCCACGUUUCAUUUGUAUUCAUCAUUGGUAGCAUGACAGGCCCAGCCUGCGCAUGGAAAAUGUAUCUCCCAUGUUUCCUGCACAAAUUUGUUUCUCGUUCAUCGUUUAAGACCAAUCACAUGAAUAUCUUCUAAACUCUUCAGAAUUUGCUCAGAGUCAAUGUGAGUAAAAUACUCCUUGUAUUCAAGUGCUUUCAUGUAGAAAGUUUCGUUUGAAUAUGGCACAGAAUAGAAAUAUUUAUUUUGAAUUUUUCAAAAUAUCGGGUUUUUACUCACACACACCACGCACACGCCAUGUGUAUGCUUGGUCAUCUCAGUCUGAUGCCGUGCAAACCACUGGUAGUAAUUUGACUCGUAGAAUCGAUUACCGGUUUUUCCACGACCCGUGAGAGACCCUACAAUGAAAAUAGCGCUUUGUUUUGAUGUAUGUUUCAUGGGCCGCGCUAAAAAUGUAAAUAUUCUGUAAAUACAGAAAUAAAAAAUUAAAAUCUAGAGACACAAGCUUGAAAAUAACACUCCAAAUUGUGUUUUGGAUUCUGGUUAGAAUAAUACUAUUACGAAAAAGAUGUGUCCAAAGGGGCCAAAGUUAUGUUCGGCCACAGUUCGGUGAAAUGUAUGGCUAUAGUUUACAUUGUUCGUUAUUAUGUAAUAUGAUACUAUUGCGCACCCAGCGCUGCGUGAAUUCUAAUACUGCACGAAUUUUAAUUCAUGUAAGGUAUAUUGUGGAUUGCAACAUUAAUAAUAAUUAUCAUUAUUCAUAGCAACCUUAACAUUUACAUCCAGACUGUAUGUAUACCAGAAACCUGCGGAUGGAGAGGGAUUCAAUUACACCUGAAAAAUGCAAGUAAAUCUGCAGCUUUCUGGUGUUAUUGCAAAUCCUUCUCAAUCCAUAGCUUUCUGUUGUUAUUGUCACUACCUACUAUGGAACACACAACAAUUUUAUGAUUGGGAGGGCUGGUGCUGAGAUGAAAUCUCUGCACCCUGGGGAUUUGGGGGCAUGCCCGCAAGAAAAUUUGGAAACUUACAAACCCAGAAAGGAGUUUGUCGGUUAACCGAGUCAAAUCCGAGUCAUUGUUUAGUGGUCUUUGUAGUUCAAUGACUUAGUGCCCUAACCCCACACCUAACGUACCCUACCCUAUUCGACUGUGAAUUUUAUUCAAUUUCGGACUUUGUCGGUUUACCGAGUCAAAUCCGAGUCUGAGUAAAUUGUCUGAGUCACUGCUUAAUUAACUGUCUUUGUCGGUUCAAUGACUUUGUACCCUAACCCUACUCCUAACCCUAUUCGACUGUGAAUUUUCUUCAAUUUCAGGCCAUUUAAAAACCUGGGGGUCUGGUAUCGGCUUCACGGCUUGGCGAAGAAUAAACAAAUUAUCUCAGUCUGCUUACAAUUUCCUGUUAAUGUUAUAUAGUUUUACAAUUCUGACUAAGUAUAACAGAAUAAUAUGGAUGCAUUGUAAUGUCAAAAUUUUAUUGCGGGCAUGCCCCCAAACCCCAGGGUGCAGAGAUUUCAUCUCAGCACCAGCCCUCCCAAUCAUAAAAUUGUUGUGUGUUCCAUAGUAGGUAGUGACAACACCAGAAAGCUAUGGAUUGAGAAGGAUUUGCAAUAACACCAGAAAGCUAUGGAUUGAGAAGGAUUUGCAAUAACACCAGAAAGCUGCAGAUUUACUUGCAUUUCUCAGGUGUAAUUGAAUCCCUCUCCAUCCGCAGGUUUCUGGUAUACAUACAGUCUGAAGACAUAUUCUCAUAGACAUAUAUUUAUAAUAUGUUAAUUGGACACAUAUUCAUAUUCUCAAGACAUAUAUUUAUAAUAUGUUAAUUGGACACAUAUUCAUAUUCUCAAGACAUAUAUUUAUAAUAUGUUAAUUCAUGGUCUGUUUUAUUUUUAUGUAUCCUCAAGUUAUGUUCAUAUAUUAAUUGUCUGUAGUGCAUGACUACAUUUCAGGGUAUAUUUCUCAAUCUGCUUACAAUUUCCUGUUAAUGUUAUAUAGUUUUACAAUUCUGACUGAGUAAACAGAAUAAUAUGGAUGCAUUGUAAUGUAAUGGAUGUCAAAAAGUUCAUCUUAAUUUUACUUGGAUGGAUCUGUAAACACUGGCAACAAAGUAAUUGCAUUGCAAAGAUAGUCUAGAUAGAUCCAGCCACUCAGUUGUGCAUAUGGUUGUUAUGAAUUUCAAACACUGUUGAGAAAUAUACCCUGAAAUGUAGUCAUGCACUACAGACGAUUAAUAUAUGAACAUAACUUGAGGAUACAUAAAAAUAAAACAGACCAAUUAACAUAUUAUAAAUAUAUGUCUUGAGAAUAUUUCACACUUGUAGCUCUAAAAAGUGCUGGAUUUAUAAGCUCGUUUAUAAGCACACUGCUAAACGCUAGAUUCUAGAAUUAUCGCCUUGACAAACCGCUACACAAACAUACAAAGCUGAAGGCAUUUAGACAAUUUACUGUAGUACACUUUGACUCCUUGUAUGAGGACAUUGAAUGACCUUAUAAAUGUUGUUAUGACCAAUCGAUUAGUGGCUAGGCUUGUGGGCUGUUUAAUAAUAAACUCAUGAAAUACUCCUAUAUUUAUCGAAUACUAAAAAGUUCAACGCUUUCAUGUAUGUCAACAGAAAGAAAUAAAACCACCCUUACCUAAACUAUUCUAAAUAUUGUAGAUCGUUUAAUUUUGCAUCGUUUAAUUUGCAUCCAUAUUAAUUAAAAAGCUCGUAAAAUCUUGAGAAGAAUUGAAAGCAUAUGUGCGCAAUACAAAAUAUAAUUAUAUUUGCCCGCCCCCCUCACUUAAAAAAUGUCCCUGAAGCUUAAUUAUUUCCCCUGGAAAAAUGGACAGACAGACACAAGUCGAGAUCUCGACAAUACAUAGGUCGCGCGAAAGACUGGGUCGAAAGGACUCUGAGGAAACCCUAGCACGUCAAGAAUAGUGUGCUGCCUCGCUGACGCUCGGCAGCAAAUAUUGCAAUAUGUUAAACUAAUAUAUUAUUUUUAGUAUUCGCUUGGUAGGAGCUGCAGAGCACCAUGUUAUGUGCUGAAAUUUAAACAAGCAACAGUCAUGUUGGAUUGUUCAUUGGACAUGACACCUGCACUCAAUUUUACACCACUACAUUUAGUUGAGAAGUAA